AAUCAUAGAAUCAUUUAGAUUGGAAAAGACCUGUAAGACCAUCGAGUCCAACUGUUAACACUGCCAAGUCCCACUAAACCAUGUCCCUAAACACCACAUCUACAUGUCUUUUAAAUACCUCCAGGGAUGGUGACUCAGCCACUUCCCUGGACAGACUGUUCAGCGCUUGAUAAUCCUUUUGACUGCUACAGGGACAAAUAGUUGGUGUUGAAGAAGCAAAUCAGGAUCUUCAUGGAGAAGAAAA